rnacentral:rRNA from 1 species
UUAAUGGGCGCAAGCCUGAAGCAGCAACGCCGCGUGUGCGAUGACGGCCUUCGGGUUGUAAAGCACUUUUAGGUGGGAAGAGGAAGGACGGUACCACCUGAAUAAGCCUCGGCUAACUACGUGCCAGCAGCCGCGGUAAAACGUAGGAGGCGAGCGUUAUCCGGAUUUACUGGGUGUAAAGCGCGUGCAGGCGGUUCGUUAAGUUGGAUGUGAAAGCUCCCGGCUCAACUGGGAGAGGUCGUACAAGGCUGGCGGACUGGAGUGUGGUAGGGGAAGGUGGAAUUCCGGGUGUAGUGGUGAAAUGCGUAGAUAUCCGGAGGAACACCAGUGGCGAAGGCGGCCUUCUAGACCACAACUGACGCUCAGACGCGAAAGCUAGGGUAGCAAACGGGAUUAGAGACCCCGGUAGUCCUAGCCGUAAACGAUGUGAACUUGGCGGCGGUUGGGUAAAACCGAUCGGUGCCGAAGCAAACGCGAUAAGUUCACCACCUGGGGACUACGGCCGCAAGGUUA